rnacentral:rRNA from 1 species
AUGAUGGAUAGGCCGAGUUCUUCUACCAAUCCACUCUUCAUCGAGCAAGACGAUGACAUGACCUCCUACGUCACCAAGAGCCACCUCUUUGGUGCACAACAAGCUUUGCAUGAAGAACAACAAGCAAUGAGCGACCGCAUCGACCAUCUCGCCACUGACUUACACCUCUCCGAGCAACGUACAAGAGACUACUUCGACAACAAGCUCGACGAACAAAAACAAGAGAGCAAUGCAAGAAUGGACGAGAUUCGUGCUUUGUUGGUCAACCGCUCUUCUACCUCGUCGUCCUACUCAAGACGGAGUCACUCGAGUCGACACUCCGACGACACCAUCUCCGGCUCAAGUACUCCGACAUCAAACACUCUUCAACGAGUUGUGCGCCAAAACUGUCAAGCAAACCGCAAUCCUCUUCACGGCAUCGAUCCUCAAGAACAACUUCGAGCGCAAGAAAAUCGACAUCGCCAAAAUCAAGCUACCUUGGUGGAAGCACAAGAAAGGCAACGCCAACGACAACAAGAGGAAGAGAGGGCGCGCCAACACCAAGAGGAGCAAGACGCCGAAGCACUUCGACAACAACAACUACGGCGUGAAGGUCAAGCUCAAGCGGCCCAAGACGCACUACGAGAAUCCACUCAUGCUGUUGCACAACGCAGUCGACAAGUAUGUGAACAAGAGGAAGCUCUUCGUCGGGAAAUACAAGAAGAAGCUGCUCGUCAUGAAGAACAACAAGAAAGGCGAAACCAUGAACACAUGCCUCGCCCUCCUCUAUGCCAAGAGCGCAACCACGUCAUCGAUCUUCCUCCUCGCCGAGAACAACACCAAGUGGAACAAGUGUGUGAAGACCCCCCUCCUCGCCAAGAGCAAUACCAACAUCGUCACUAUGAUGAAGAACUCAGCUACGGCAAGCUAAAGUUCACCAUGCCCAAGUUCUCCGGAAGCAAUGACCCCAAGGAGCACUUAUCAUGGGCAUUGAAGGUGGACAAGAUAUUCCAUCUUCACAACUACGACGAGGAAAAUAAGAUCGCCAUGGCCUCCCUCGAGUUUCAAGACUAUGUCCUCAUUUGGUGGGAACAAGUGAUCGAGCAACGACAAACAAGAGGCAAACCACCAAUCACAACUUGGACGGAAAUGAAGGAUGUCAUGAGAGCUCGCUUCGUGCCUACACACUACACCUGUGAUCUCUUCAAGAAGUUGCAACUCCUCAAGCAAGGCACGAACACGGUGGAAGAAUACUACCCAGAAAUGGAGGUUGCCAUGAUACGAGCCAAUGUCAAGGAAGACGACGAGCAAAUAAUGGCACGCUUCUUGAACGGCCUCAACCACCCAAUCAAGCGGAUUGCCGACUUCCAACCAUACUCAAACCUUCUCGAGCUAGUUCAUCAAGCGACCAAGGCCGAGCGACAAGUGCAAGAUGACUUCAAAUACGCCAAGUACUCGUCCAAGACCUACGGCUCCUACUCUCAAGCUCCCGCGACUUCGGAAACUCCUACCUCAACUAGAGCAUCACCAAGUACCGGCGACAAGUCAAGUUCCAAGCAAGCUACGCCUUCCUCUACUCGUCCUCCGGCAAGCACCUACAAAUCCAAGACUCCCUCAUCUUCGGCGCCACCGAAUGACCCCGUCAAGACAAGUUCUUUCAAGUGCUUCACAUGUGGUGGCCGGGGACACAAGUCCUUUGAAUGCACCAACAAGCAAACCAUGAUCUUCAACGAUGAUGGCACAUAUGAAUUGAUGAGUGAAGAAGAAAUGGAAGCCCUUGAGCAUGUGGCCAUGCACCGACGUGUGAACGAAGAUGAAGACGAUCAAGUGUUUUGUGACAACAAUUCAAGUCCCUCUCUCGUGGUCUCCAAGGUCUUGACGCUCCAACACCACCAAGAAGAAGACCAACGGUGCCACAUCUUCCACACCAAGGCCGGCAUCAACGGCAGUUCCGUGAAAGUCAUCAUCGACGUAGGAAGUUGUCACAACUUGUCAAGUGAAGACUAUGCUCCAAGCUGCAAUUGGUCAAGAAGAAGCAUCCUCGUCCCUACAAGGUGCAAUGGCUAA